rnacentral:tRNA from 2 species
AAGGUUUUAAGUUAAAAAAACUAAUAAUCUUCAAAAUUAUAAAUAAAGAAAUUUCUUUAAGCCUUA